GACGAAGGAUGCAAGCGUUAUCCGGAUUCAUUGGGUUUAAAGGGUGCGUAGGCGGCCCAGUAAGUCAGUGGUGAAAGCUCUCCGCUUAACGGAGAAACUGCCAUUGAUACUGCUGGGCUUGAGUACAGAUGAUGUUGGCGGAAUAUGACAUGUAGCGGUGAAAUGCAUAGAUAUGUCAUAGAACACCGAUUGCGAAGGCAGCUGACAAAACUGUAACUGACGCUGAGGCACGAAAGUGCGGGGAGCAAACGGG
rnacentral:rRNA from 1 species